UACAGAGGGGGCAAGCGUUGUUCGGAAUUACUGGGCGUAAAGGGCGCGUAGGCGGCCUUCUAAGUCGAACGUGAAAUCCCCGGGCUCAACCCGGGAACUGCGUCCGAUACUGGAAGGCUUGAAUCCGGGAGAGGGAUGCGGAAUUCCAGGUGUAGCGGUGAAAUGCGUAGAUAUCUGGAGGAACACCUGUGGCGAAAGCGGCUCACUGGACCACAACUGACGCUGAUGCACGAAAGCUAGGGGAGCAAACAGG
rnacentral:rRNA from 1 species